GACGAACGCUGGCGGCGUGCCUAAUACAUGCAAGUCGAACGAACUCUGGUAUUGAUUGGUGCUUGCAUCAUGAUUUACAUUUGAGAGAGUGGCGAACUGGUGAGUAACACGUGGGAAACCUGCCCAGAAGCGGGGGAUAACACCUGGAAACAGAUGCUAAUACCGCAUAACAACUUGGACCGCAUGGUCCGAGCUUGAAAGAUGGCUUCGGCUAUCACUUUUGGAUGGUCCCGCGGCGUAUUAGAUAGAUGGUGGGGUAACGGCUCACCAUGGCAAGGAUACGUAGCCGACCUGAGAGGGUAAUCGGCCACAUUGGGACUGAGACACGGCCCAAACUCCUACGGGAGGCAGCAGUAGGGAAUCUUCCACAAUGGACGAAAGUCUGAUGGAGCAACGCCGCGUGAGUGAAGAAGGGUUUCGGCUCGUAAAACUCUGUUGUUAAGAAGAACAUGUCUGAGAGUAACUGUUCAGGUAUUGACGGUAUUUAACCAGAAAGCCACGGCUAACUACGUGCCAGCAGCCGCAGUAA
rnacentral:rRNA from 1 species